rnacentral:tRNA from 1 species
GGGUGAUUGGCGCAGCUGGUUAGCGCAUCUCGUUUACACCGAGAGGGUCGGGGGUUCGAAUCCCUCAUCACCCA